CCCCUCUCAGGACCACAACGGGAGAGUUUCCAAUACUCUACCAGUCUCGGCUACGGGAGGGAGAGUCAGGCAGCGGCCCAUCCAUUCCACUCCUAGCUUGGGCAGUGGCUAGCGAGUGGAAGCCAUCUGCUACAAAG